rnacentral:rRNA from 1 species
UGGGGAAUAUUGCACAAUGGGGGAAACCCUGAUGCAGCGACGCCGCGUGAACGAAGAAGGUAUUCGUAUCGUAAAGUUCUGUCCUAUGGGAAGAUAAUGACAGUACCAUAGAAGAAAGCUCCGGCUAAAUACGUGCCAGCAGCCGCGGUAAUACGUAUGGAGCGAGCGUUGUCCGGAAUCAUUGGGCGUAAAGGGUACGCAGGCGGUUUAAUAAGUCGAAUGUUAAAGAUCGGGGCUCAACCCCGCAAAGCAUUGGAAACUGAUAAACUAGAGUAGUGUGGAGGAGAGUGGAAUUCCUAGUGUAGUGGUGAAAUACGUAGAUAAGAGGAGGGAUACCAGUAGCGAAGGGGAGGCUCUGGACACAAACUGACGCUGCGGUACGAAAGGGUGGGGAGCGAACAGG